rnacentral:rRNA from 1 species
CCUACGGGAGGCAGCAGUGGGGAAUAUUGCGCAAUGGGCGCAAGCCUAUUGCAGGCAAUGCCGCGUGUAUGAAGAAGGCCUUCGGGGUGUAAAGUACGUACGCCGGGGAGGAAGAGAGUAAAGUUAAUACCACGCUCAUCGACGGAACGCAGA